GGGAAAUGAAAUUGAGUGGAAAUGCAACUGUGCAACAGUAGGUAAACAAUAGGAAAUGUAACAGUAAGUGAUAGAAGUGAUGGCAGCAAGCACAGAGAAUAUAUGAAAACAGGCAGCAAUAAGGUUUAGUAGAAAAAAAAGUAGGUAACAGAUUGUAGACUGGGGGGCAGCAGCUAUGAGUAUGGGUCGGGGGCAGCAAUAAGUGAGUUUUUAGGCUGUGGGUAUGCGGGUAGUAAGGAGGGGGAGGCAACAAGGAGGUGAGGAGCGAGUGUGUGAGUAUUAGCUGAGCAGGGAGUGAGUAUUAGCUGAGGAGUGUGUGAGUGUUAGCUGAGCAGGGAGUGAGUGUUAGCUGAGCAGGGAGUGUGUGAGUGUUAGCUGAGCAGGGAGUAUUAGCUGAGCAGGGAGUGUGUGAGUGUUAGCUGAGCAGGGAGUGUUAGCUGAGCAGGGAGUGUGUGAGUGUUAGCUGAGCAGUGAGUGUGAGUAUUAGCUGAGCAGUGAGUGUGAGUAUUAGCUGAGCAGGGAGUGUGUGAGUGUUAGCUGAGCAGGGAGUGUGUGAGUGUUAGCUGAGCAGGGAGUGUGUGAGUGUUAGCUGAGCAGGGAGUGUGAGUAUUAGCUGAGCAGUGAGUGUGAGUAUUAGCUGAGCAGGGAGUGUGUGAGUGUUAGCUGAGCAGGGAGUGUGUGAGUGUUAGCUGAGCAGUGAGUGUGAGUAUUAGCUGAGCAGUGAGUGUGAGUAUUAGCUGAGCAGGGAGUGUGUGAGUGUUAGCUGAGCAGGGAGUGUGUGAGUAUUAGCUGAGCAGGGAGUGUGUGAGUGUUAGCUGAGCAGGGAGUGUGAGUAUUAGCUGAGCAGUGAGUGUGAGUAUUAGCUGAGCAGGGAGUGUGUGAGUGUUAGCUGAGCAGGGAGUGUGUGAGUGUUAGCUGAGCAGGGAGUGUUAGCUAUGUAGCGCUAACACGGUGGGAGGAGGGGGUUAUGAAGUAGUGGGGGCAGUUAUAGGGUAACAGUGGUUGUGGUGAUGGUUGG